UAUGCCCUGGAGCUUUUCUGAAUGCACAUAUUAAAUCUCUUGCAGCUAUCUGUGAAGACAGCUGCAUAAACAGAGGUAUACGCGUCUCUGGUUAUAAUGCUGCCAGGCAGGGCAGGAGGACACUGCUGAGAAGGUUCCUGUUCUUUCUCCCAGACUCCCCGUACUGGUCUGGUGAUAGUGAAGGUCAAGGACGAACUGGGAUUCCUAUGUGUGGAGGCUUCCCAUGACAAAGCAAGAUGUAUGUGUAUAAGCAUUAAGAUGUUUCCAUGACCUGGACCUGUUCUAGAAACCAUUCUUUUGUGUUUCAAGGAUUGUCCUUCCACCUACAGCAAGCACAUUAAUGCAGGUUUCAGCGGGAAUGGUUAGCGAAGCAGUCUCAGAACGGAUAGAGUGAACAGGGAAAAAGACGUCAGGGCUUAAACAUCUGACCUGUGAAUUUCAAAUGUAAUUCCCCCUUUUGAGGACAGAUUUCUAAUUAAAUACAGGUCUUGCUAUACUGCAGGUGGAAACAAUUUAUUUUACUUGUAUAAUGAACGUGCACAGUGCUAAACAAGAAUCCAUCUGAGAAUGCACCUGUAUGUGACAACAGGGUAUUAACACAGCUUUCAUCCAUGACAAACACUUAAGCACAUAUUCUGAGUUAAAGCGUUAAGUAAAGCCUAGGCAAACGUUGUAUGCCACCUUUAUUAGCAUUUUUUUGAGUUGGCCAUGAAGAAAAAGAAGUUGGUCUGUUCUCUUAAAAUGUGCUAUGAAGAUUGUGGUACUGUAUGUGCUACAAUGACAACACAACAGUUGAUUUUUUGACAAUUAUUGCACCUGGGAGCUGACUGCAUGAAUUAAACCCAGCAUUUAGACAUAUAUAUAUAUAUAUAUAUAUAUAUAUAUAUAUAUAUAUAUAUGAUGAAGUUAAACAAUGCAUAUAGAAUAUAUAUAAGUAAGAUUUACAGAGAAAAACAGAUUAAUCUCAGUUGCAUAAGUAUUCAACCCCUUUGCUACUGCAGCCCUAAAUCAGUUCAGGUGCAAAUGAUUUGUUUGAAAGGUCACAAAAUUAGUGAAAUGGUUUCAGCCUGUGUGUAUUCAAAGUGGUUUAACUUGUAGAUAAAUUCCCUCCAGUAUAUGAAGACUUUCAAGCUGCAACUCACAUAGUGAUCCAACAAAGCAACCAUGAAGACCAAGGAGCUUUCAAAACAAGUCAGGGAUAAAGUGGUAGAGAGGCACAGAGUAGGAGAAUGGUACAAGAACAUUUCAAAGUCGCUGAUUAUCAGACGAGACAAAAAUUGAACUUUUUGGUCUAAAUUCCAAGCGUUAUGUCUGUUGCAAGUCCAACACUGCACAUCACCCAGUCAACACCAUCCCAACUGUCAAGCAUGGUGGUGGCAGCAUCAUGUUAUGGGAUGCUUCUCUUCAGCAGGGACUAGCGAGCUUGUCAGGAUAGAGGGGAAAAUGGAUGGUGCAAUGUACAGGUGAAUCUUGGAGGAAAACCUGUUUGAGUCAGCCAAGACUCUGAAACUGGGGAGCACAUUCACAUUUCAGCAGGACAAUGGCCCGCAGCACAAAGCCAAAGCUACACUGGAGUGGUUGAACAAGAAGAGAAUUAAUGUUCUUGAGUGGCCCAGUCAAAGUCCUGACUUGAAUCCAAUCGAAAAAUUAUGGCGAGACUUGAAGAUUGCAGUCCAUCGACGAUCCCCAACAAACAUUAUCACAACUGGAGGACUUUUCCCAUGAUGAAUGGGCAAAAAGUUCACCAUCCUACUGCACAAAGCUAGUAUAUCUAUAAAGACUCAUAGCAGUAAUUGCUGCAAAAGGUGCUUCUACCAAGUACUGACUUAAGGGGCUGAAUACUUAUGCAACCAGUAAAUUUCAUUUUGUACAUUUUCUUUGCAAGUUUUGCUGACAUUUAACCUCCUCCUCAUAUAACAGUGUUCAGUUUAACCACAACAGCUUUGAAUAAAAAAAGUUUGUUUGAAAAA